rnacentral:lncRNA from 1 species
GUUCUCGAAUAGGAGACUGAAAUAAUAAAAGCCUUCUAUAAAAGAAGUUAUUUUGAUGGCAUAUUAAAGGAUGAAGUAAAAGGAGAAGAGACUAACCCUAGACAGGAAGAAAAUAUGGGGAGUCAUUUCAGUUAUGAUGACUGUGAACACCGUGAAGAAGGGUGAGAAUCCAAGACAUUUUAAAGGGGGAAAAACUAACUAGAAUUGGUAUACGGAAUAAAUAUAACAUGAAGAAGAAAGAAGAGAUAUGUCAGGUUCAUAUGAAAUGGACAAUAUGAACUUUUUCUUUGAAUGCAUUUUAGAAAGAAAGAAAAGAGAGGAAUAGAGGGAGGAAGGACAUAAAAAAGAGAAGAGAGAGUGAGGGAAAGAGUAGAUUGCGGAGGAGUACUGGGAAGAGAUCCACAAGAGGUGAUCGAAGCAUUGCCAAACAGAAGCAAAAGCCAGGUUCGAUAAGGCACAAAGAGAACACAUUGAGCCUGCUGUGUUCCAGGCACUGUGCUAGAUGCUCAGUAUGCAGGAGUCAUCAGGACAUGGUGCUGGUCUUCAGAGAGCUUAUAGUCCCACGGUUGAGAUGAAUUGCAUGAAAAUGAAAUGAACCCAACUUAGCACCGCUCCACUUCAUGUUUCGUCUGUAUUCUGAGGGCCAGGGGCAAUUAUUAGGGAAGAUGGAAGACAAGGGUAGAGGAAGAUCCAGAACUGAGGACUGGUGUGGCUGAUUGGGGUAGUAGCCACAGAGGAAGUCAAAGGCACUAAGGAGGGCAGCACUGAAGUUUCAGGUGGGAAAGUCUUCAGCUUCACCAGUAGGCUAGGAAUGAGAGAAAGAAAGGAG